rnacentral:rRNA from 1 species
GACGAACGCUGGCGGCGUGCUUAACACAUGCAAGUCGAACGGAAAGGCCCUGCUUGCCGGGUGCUCGAGUGGCGAACGGGUGAGUAACACGUGGGUGAUCUGCCCCUUACUUUGGGAUAAGCCUGGGAAACUGGGUCUAAUACUGGAUAGGACCAUGCUGUAGGUGGUGUGGUGGAAAGAUUAGUUUCGGUAAGGGAUGAGCUCGCGGCCUAUCAGCUUGUUGGUGGGGUAAUGGCCUACCAAGGCGUCGACGGGUAGCCGGCCUGAGAGGGUGGACGGCCACAUUGGGACUGAGAUACGGCCCAGACUCCUACGGGAGGCAGCAGUGGGGAAUAUUGCACAAUGGGCGCAAGCCGGAUGCAGCGACGCCGCGUGGGGGAUGACGGCCUUCGGGUUGUAAACUCCUUUCAGCCAUGACGAAGCCCUUGUGGUGACGGUAGUGGUAGAAGAAGCACCGGCUAACUACGUG